UGGGGAAUCUUGGACAAUGGGGGCAACCCUGAUCCAGCCAUGCCGCGUGAGUGAUGAAGGCCUUAGGGUCGUAAAGCUCUUUCGCCUGUGAAGAUAAUGACGGUAGCAGGUAAAGAAACCCCGGCUAACUCCGUGCCAGCAGCCGCGGUAAUACGGAGGGGGUUAGCGUUGUUCGGAAUUACUGGGCGUAAAGGGCGUGUAGGCGGCCAAUUAAGUCAGAGGUGAAAUCCCCGAGCUCAAACUUGGGAACUGCCUUUGAUACUGAUUGGCUAGAGUUCGGGAGAGGGUAGUGGAAUUCCCAGUGUAGAGGUGAAAUUCGUAGAUAUUGGGAAGAACACCAGUGGCGAAGGCGGCUACCUGGACCGAUACUGACGCUGAGGCGCGAAAGCGUGGGGAGCAAACAGGAUUAGAUACCCUGGUAGUCCACGCCGUAAACGAUGUCUGCUAGUCGUUGGGGAGCAUAGCUCUUCGGUGACGCAGCUAACGCAUUAAGCAGACCGCCUGGGGAGUACGGCCGC
rnacentral:rRNA from 1 species